UUUAUGGAGAGUUUGAUCCUGGCUCAGGACGAACGCUGGCGGCGUGCCUAAUACAUGCAAGUCAAGCGGAUCUUCCCUUCGGGGAAGGUUAGCGGCGGACGGGUGAGUAACACGUAGGCAACCUGCCUGCAAGACCGGGAUAACAUUCGGAAACGAAUGCUAAUACCGGAUACGCAGUAUCCUCGCAUGGGGAGACUGGGAAAGACGGUGCAAGCUGUCACUUGCAGAUGGGCCUGCGGUGCAUUAGCUAGUUGGCGAGGUAACGGCUCACCAAGGCGACGAUGCAUAGCCGACCUGAGAGGGUGA
rnacentral:rRNA from 1 species